AAGAGACUUCUUGCCCCGCAGGGGAGAGCUACCAGCAUGACACUUGUUAGCUUGCUGUGGGCAGUUGUGGUCUCCACCUGUCUUGGAUCCAGCACAGCCCAGACGGUCACUCAGCCUCUACCAGAAAUGUCUGUGCAGGAGGCAGCGACUGUGACCCUGGACUGCACGUAUGACACUACUGAGAGUGAUUAUUAUUUGUUCUGGUACAAACAGCCCCCCAGUGGGGAGAUGAUUUUCAUUAUUCGCCAACAAGCUUAUAAGGAAGAGAAUGCAAUGAAUAAUCGGUUCUCUGUGAACUUCCAGAAAGCAAACAAAUUCUUCGGUCUCAGGAUCUCAGACUCCCAGCUGGAGGAUGCUGUGAUGUACUUCUGUGCUCUCAUGAGGGCACAGUGA